CACGUAGGGCGCAAGCGUUGUCCGGAAUUAUUGGGCGUAAAGAGCUCGUAGGCGGUCUGUUACGUCUGCUGUGAAAACCCAGGGCUUAACCCUGGGCUUGCAGUGGAUACGGGCAGACUAGAGGCAGGUAGGGGAGAAUGGAAUUCCCGGUGUAGCGGUGAAAUGCGCAGAUAUCAGGAGGAACACCGAUGGCGAAGGCAGUUCUCUGGGCCGUAACUGACGCUGAGGAGCGAAAGCGUGGGGAGCGAACAGG
rnacentral:rRNA from 1 species